rnacentral:tRNA from 1 species
GCAUUGGUAGUUCAGUGGUAGAAUUCUCACCUUCCAUGUGGGAGACCCAGUUCAUUUCUGGCCAGUCA